GGUCCCGUAGCUUAGUCGGUUAAAGCGUCAAGCUUAUAUCUUGGCGAUCGCGAGUUCGAUCCUCGCCGGGACCA
rnacentral:tRNA from 1 species